rnacentral:rRNA from 1 species
AUUCCCCAGUCGGCGAGUGAAGCGGCAACAGCUCCAUUUGAAAUCUGGCCCUCGGGUCCGAAUUGUAAUUUGUAGAGGAUGCUUUUGGUCAGGUGCCUUCCGAGUUCCCUGGAACGGGACGCCUUAGAGGGUGAGAGCCCCGUACGGUUGGACGCCGAGCCUCUGUAAAGCUCCUUCGACGAGUCGAGUAGUUUGGGAAUGCUGCUCUAAAUGGGAGGUAAAUUUCUUCUAAAGCUAAAUAUUGGCCAGAGACCGAUAGCGCACAAGUAGAGUGAUCGAAAGAUGAAAAGUACUUUGAAAAGAGGGUUAAACAGCACGUGAAAUUGUUGAAAGGGAAGCGUUUAUGACCAGACUUUUUCUAGGCGGAUCAUCCGGUGUUCUCACCGGUGCACUUUGUCUAGUUUAGGCCAGCAUCGGUUUUUAUAGGGGGAUAAAAUCGGUGGGAAUGUGGCUCCCUCGGGAGUGUUAUAGCCCGCCGAAUAAUACCCUUACGGGGACCGAGGUUCGCGCUCUGCAAGGAUGCUGGCGUAAUGGUCAUCAACGACCCGUCUUGAAACACGGACCAAGGAGUCGAACAUUUGUGCGAGUGUUUGGGUGUUAAACCCUCACGCGUAAUGAAAGUGAACGGAGGUGAGAGCCCCUAGGGGUGCAUCAUCGACCGAUCCUGAAGUUUACGGAUGGAUUUGAGUAAGAGCAUAACUGUUCGGACCCGAAAGAUGGUGAACUAUGCGUGGAUAGGGUGAAGCCAGAGGAAACUCUGGUGGAGGCUCGCAGCGGUUCUGACGUGCAAAUCGAUCGUCAAAUCUGCGCAUGGGGGCGAAAGACUAAUCGAACCAU